CAUUUUAAAGCACAUCAGCUGUGGGUUCCACAGAAAAGAAAUUCGUUCCCAUUCUGUGAGGUGGAGACAGGGAAGAGAGGGUGUCUGAUGCAUUCGGCUCUGGCAGGGUGCUAUCAGCAGGAGUACUUUAGCAAAGGGGACUUUGCACCUUUGGUGGUGCCAGAGCUCAGGUGACCAGAUCCUUCCAGGGAGAAGCACAAAUGCCUGUCUUGGGUUGUUGAAUCCAGGAUAUCCUUGCAGGAUUUAGUCUCAGAGCAGGAAUCAAAGGACUAGAGGCCCUCACAUGGUAGGGUGGUUCAGGAGUCCUUGUCUGACCCGAAUGGAUCCCCUCUCGAUUGGUUCUAGGAAAAUGACAUCCUGCUUCCAAACCCCAGACCCACUGAUUCUAGGUAUGGAAAGGUUUUUUGGUAGUAAGGGAAAAAAGGCCAAAUAUAACAAACAAAAUUCUGCAUGUUUUCAAGACAUUGUUAGUACUGGGAAUUGAACUCAGGACCUUGUGCUUACCAGAUGGUAUUAAGUAGAAGAUACUUAAGAAAAACAGAAGGGACACUGCCUUUUUGGUGAAGUUUUUUGAGCCCGUAAGUCUUCCCUUCUCCCUCCUUCCCUUCCGUCCAUCCAGUGGUACAUUCUUAGAAUUUCCCAGGACCUUUACCUUCUGAAACUUUUAUCUUGCUGCAUAAAAUAUCCUUAGUAAUAUUCCUAAGUAAAACUGUCCCAUAUAACGUACUUCUGAGUGCCUGACACUUGUAAGUAUUUUAUGAUGACUCAGGUAAUCCUCAGAACCACCUUGUAGGGUGACCAUUGCCUU